rnacentral:rRNA from 1 species
GACGAACGCUGGCGGUGUGCCUCAUACAUGCAAGUCGAACGAUAAGGCACCUUCGGGUGUACAUAAGUGGCGGACGGGUGAGUAACACGUAGGAAAUCUGCCCUAAGGUGGGGGACAACAGUUGGAAACGACUGCUAAUACCCCAUAUGAGCUAAGUUGAAAUACUUAUCUUGAAAGAUUUAUCGCCAUAGGAUGAGCCUGCGUCUGAUUAGCUAGUUGGUGGGGUAAAGGCCUACCAAGGCGACGAUCAGUAGCUGGUUUGAGAGGAUGAUCAGCCACAAUGGGACUGAGACACGGCCCAUACUCCUACGGGAGGCAGCAGUAGGGAAUUUUGCGCAAUGGGCGAAAGCCUGACGCAGCAACACCGCGUGAGCGAUGAAGCCCUUCGGGGUGUAAAGCUCUGUCAGUGGGGACGAAUUUUGACGGUACCCACAGAGGAAGCAUCGGCUAACUACGUGCCAGCCGCCGCCGUAA